rfam:Asian citrus Psyllid, Diaphorina citri - Florida Strain, whole genome shotgun sequence.
AACUUUGCGCAGCGGCGAUAUCGUAUCCAAUGAGAUUUAUUCGAGGUGCGAUUAUUGCUAGUUGAAACUAUACCUCUGAAAUUACAGUAAUGGAGAAAUUUGAAACUCCGAUUCUAUGAG